rnacentral:rRNA from 1 species
GGGAUACCUAAAUUUCCCAUAGCAAACUGCUUAGUAACACAUGAUCAACUUGCCCUAUGGAGAAAUAUAACCUCGGGAAACUGAGGAUAAUGAUUCAUAGUUGAAUAGGCUUGGAAAAGUUUUUCAAUGAAAGGGAUAAGAAAAAUGGUUCUUAUUCGCCAUAGGAUAGGAUCGUGCUCGAUUAUGGUUGUUGGUGAGGUAACGGCUCACCAAGCCGAUAAUCGAUAGGGGCCGUGAGAGCGGGAGCCCCAAGAUGGGUACUGAGACAGCGACCCAGGCCUUACGAGGCGCAGCAGGUACGAAACCUCCGCAAUACACGAAAGUGUGACGGGGUUACCCAAAGUGUUCUUAUUGAACUGUGGCAGGUGAGUAAUGUCCCCUGCUAGAAAGGAGAGGGCAAGGCUGGUGCCAGCCGCCGCGGUAAAACCAGCUCUUCAAGUGGUCGGGAUAAUUAUUGGGCUUAAAGUGUCCGUAGCCGGUUUAGUAAGUUCCUGGUAAAAUCAGGUAGCUUAACUAUCUGUAUGCUAGGAAUACUGCUAUACUAGAGGGCGGGAGAGGUCUGAGGUACUACAGGGGUAGGGGCGAAAUCUUAUAAUCCUUGUAGGACCACCAGUGGCGAAGGCGUCAGACUGGAACGCGCCUGACGGUGAGGGACGAAAGCCAGGGGAGCGAACCGGAUUAGAUACCCGGGUAGUCCUGGCCGUAAACGAUGCAUACUAGGUGAUGGCACGGCCAUG